ensembl:lncRNA
CGGGCAGCCGUCCGUCGGACGCCGGGAACAAAAAAUAUUGUUUGACUGGGCUGAAUAACUGACAGUAGUGCGAAUUGCAAAGGGACGACAUCAACACAGACUGAAUAUUCAGCAUGAAUGCUGACAUUUCUUGAACUAUGCAUAAUAGCUGGGAAGAACAAGCACAUUUCCGGAGACUUGUUGGGAGAAAUCCAUAAGAAGUAUUAGACUAUGACCAGCUUGCUUACCCAUCUGCCUGGCAGGCUGUCUGUCCUGCCAAACACUGUGGCUGCCUCCGUGCCAGGGACAGCAGCACUACCAGGGCUGCGGCUGUGUGGCAGGAGGCCAGAGGGACUGCCUCUCCAGUACCACCCCAAGAGCCCCCAAAGGAUGAUGUGAUGUGCUGUACUGCACAGACAGCUUCCAGGCAAGCUGCUCGGUCAAAGAGCUUUCAAAUCCAGAAAUGUCUUACCUUGUGCCAGCUUUUGUAGCUUUCUGAGAAAUUCUUUUAUCAGAGGACAUCCCUUCCUGACAGUCAGGAUGAUUUUUGUAUCUGAAAGGGGGGAUGUAUGCAUUUAACACAUCACUCUCUAGCAGUCCUACUUCAAAGGAACAGGUAGAAAUGACACCAAAUGUAAUUGCGUGUCUAGAGGAAUGUUACUUUUUAAAUCAGAACAUGGCUUCUGACAGAGCAUUAGAUUUUGCCUGGGUCUGGGGUUUUCUUUGCAUUCUAGUAGACAUUCUUGUUCCUCCUACGAAUCUCAAUUUAGGUUCAACCAGACCUCAGCAGUGUCAUAUGGAC